CGAACGGGUGAGUAACGCGUGAGGAACCUGCCUCAAAGAGGGGGACAACAGUUGGAAACGACUGCUACUACCGCAUAAGCCCACGGCUCGGCAUCGAGCAGAGGGAAAAGGAGCAAUCCGCUUUGAGAUGGCCUCGCGUCCGAUUAGCUAGUUGGUGAGGUAACGGCCCACCAAGGCGACGAUCGGUAGCCGGACUGAGAGGUUGAACGGCCACAUUGGGACUGAGACACGGCCCAG
rnacentral:rRNA from 1 species